GCUCUCCUGCCCUUCGCCCACGCCACUCGCCCGUCCUCGUGCCCUUAGUUCCUGCGUUGUUUAGAGAUAGGUCGUUAGUGCAGUGGUAGGUUUAUUAGGUAGUUUGUGUUUUCAUUAGGUAGUUUGUUAGCUUCUUAGGUGAUUAGUUGGUUAGUUUCUUAGGUGAUUAGUUUGUUAUUUCAUUAGGUAGUUAGUUUCUUAGUUUGAUAGGUAUUUAGUUUCAUUAGUUAGUGUGUUAUUUCUUUAGUUAGUUCUUAGUUGGUUCAAUAGUUCCGUAGUUAGCUAGUAAUUUCCUUUAUUCAUUAGUUAGAUUCUUUGUUGUUUAGUUAGUUGAUUAGGUUUUUAGAUAGUUAGUUAUUUAGGUAGCUGUUGUCCAGUUACAUCUCCGGGUGUCAGAUGCCAGCGCCGGUUGGGGCUGUGAGUGCCCUUUCUCACUCAGCCAUGGGGGCAGCACUGGGGACAUGGCGCGGGCCCGGUAUGGGGACUUUUGGGAGAUGUGGCAAGCUGUGAGCAGGGGCUCAGGCUGCGCCAGGGCCCAGCACUCGGCCCCGGGUGUCGUCCCUGCUCUCGGCAGUCCGGCUCCUCUUUCCCUCCAGCUCAGGGCUGUGUUUCUUUGCAAAUGCUCCAGCGGGAGAACCUGCCCCUGAUACAACAGCGCUCUAGCAACAUGUUUGAGACCUGGGGACCGUGCACCCAUGGGAGCGACGAGGGCUGGGCAGCGCGAGAGGCUACAGGGCUGUGUGGCCUCCCGUCCCGGCAGGGUUUGGCUUGCAGGCCAAGCCCACGCUGUCCCACCUCCAAUCUGGACACCCCUGACCCGUGCCUCCUGCUCCAUCUGUCACCCCCUGCUCUUCACCAGCAAGUUCCCUGGGGAUGGGCAACAGGACCGUGCCCCAUGGGCUCCUCAUGCUGGGCCAGGUCCUGGCCCUGCAGCCCCUGCCCAUGCCCCAGCCCUGGGAGUCUUCCCCCUGCCAAUGGCCCUGCUGCCCUCUGCUCCCUUGCAAGGUGGGGCCCACAGGGGCUCUGGGAUCCCCAUCCUAAAAGUGGUGCUCAGUCCCACCCAGCCUGAUGCUCAGCCCUCAUGUCUCCUCAGCACCAGAUGCCAGCUUGGGUGCAAAAUAGGUUCUGCCCCCCAUUAAAGGAUCCCCACCUUCCCCUCCAUUGGGGAGACCCUGCACCCGGGCUGGGAGCUGUGCUGGGGGCAAGCGACGUGAGGGGCCAGACGUGGCCACCGCACCUCCCCGCUGCCGUGAGUCUUUCCCCUGCCUGGGGAGUGGGACGGGUGGGUCUGUGGGUGGGGGUCUCGCCACAGGUGCCCUGUGCCCCUCCCAGCCCCACGCAGCACACAGGACCCUGGGGACAGUCUCCGUCUCCUGCCAACUCCAGGGGCCCUCCAAGGAGAAGGGAGGGUGUUGGGGUCAUCCCUCAAUCACAGGGACAGUCCUUCUCCAGUCCAAGUGUCUGGGGGGACCUGGGACCUGGAGGUGGGAGGUGGGGACUCCCCUGGGACAGGGGGGAACAACCAAGCCCUGGGAUCCCCAGGGCCCAGCUCUAGGAGCCCUUCCCGGCCCCGGGGCUCGGGAGGCCACCAGCCCUGCAUCAUGGGGAGAUGGGACCUCACUGCCCAAGGGAGCCCAUCGCCCCAGACGCGGUACAAGCGGUAGUUGAAAUAUUGGCCCUAGAAACUGAAACUGCCAUAACCAGUCUGGGAAACGCUAUAAAGAUCAUAGCCCGAAAUCAAGAUAAUUUACGACUAAUGGUUAUGCAGAACCGAUUAGCCCUUGACUAUGUUUUAGCAUCUGAAGGGGGUGCCUGUGCUGUAAUAGGCCAAGAGUGUUGCACUUAUGUAAAUAGUACCUUUGACUUAGUAGAAAACCAAGUUAAUAAUGCGAUGGUUCAUGCUGCAAAAGCCGCUGAAGCAGCCUUCGUUCCCAAAGUUUCUUCAGUAGAUUGGUUUGCUUGGUUAGAUCCUAGGGGAUUAUUCAAAGGUCUGCUUGGGAAAAUAAUGUCUGCUUUGUGUAUGGUUUUAAUUUUAGGGUUAAGUUUGUAUGUGAUUGUGCAGCUAGUUUUAUGUUGCACAAAGUUGUGUGUUAAAAAGGCUGAACAAACUAUCUAAAGAAAUGGUUAAAAACAUGGUGUUAGAACUAAGAAAUAAUCAAAUAAAGCAAGAGAAACUAUGGACAGACCUGUGCCAAAUAGAAAUAGAGUGAUCCUCCUUCGGAAGGAUCAAAUGGGUGAAAUGAAGGGGAAAAACAAAAUGGUUCCAGUCUGCCAUUUUGUUUGUGAGCAAGUCAUGUAGCCAGGUCAUGACCUUGCUGUUACAGACUGGUUUAAACUAGUUUUUUUUUUUCUCCAGUAACAAGUUGAAGACAUGUGCAGACUUGUCUGAGUGAUGGCUAAUGUUGAUUGGUUUAUACUGUUGCUAUGCUUAUGACGUCACGUUUUCUAUAUUACCGCCUCACUGCCUAUGCUCAGAGUCAGACCUCAUGGCAAAAUUCUGAAUUCGUGUAUGACACUGACCAGGAAUGCUUUCUUUAUUAAACUAAGUCUUUAAAUUUCAAUCGGCUGGUUCAUUUGAGCCUCCACCCAACGAACCAGGGGACGAAGUUUUCCCCUACACUGCCCAAGGGAGCCCAUCGCCCCAGACGCACUUUCUUUCCCCAGGAGCUGAAAGGCCCCUGCGGGUACCGGCACCAGCAGCUGGAGCUGAAGGUGCUGCGGGCCCACCUGGCAGCCCAGGAACAGGACACAGAGGUACUCCUGUCCCGGUAGGUGUGGGGCUGGGAGGGACCGGGCUGUUCCCGGGGUGUGGCGCAGGGCUUGGGGCUGAACCCAGGGCCCGUCCCUGCUUCUGCGCGACUCUCUCUUUGGGGAAGGGCUGUUUUGUGGGACGGCGUCGUCAGUCUCCCUGAGCCCAAAAAUGUGUUUUGUCACCACAGUGCUUGGCAAAGGGAAGAGGAGCUCCUGGUGAGUUUGGUGGGGCUGAGGCCGGCAGGGCCGUGGGGCAAGGGAGGGAGCAGGCUGAGGCUGAGCUUGGCCAGCUGGGUAAAUCCAAGAGGAUGUGAAAGCAGGGAACAGAGUCCUGGCACCUUGCAUGUGGGGACAGGUGGGGCCUGGCUGGUGCCUCAGGCUGUGUCGCUGUUGGGUGCUGAGGCCUGAUAUGCUCGGUGCAGCCAUGGGCAUGAUGUGAUGGGCUGGGGCGAUUCUGGUGCAGACUCAAGUGGAGGAGCUCAGGAGGGAGAAUUGCGCCCUGGUGCUGGCCCUCCAGGGGCAGAGGAAGUAGGGCCAUGACAUGGAGGACCGCCCCAUGGAGGUGAGCCUGCCCUGUAUGCCCCUGCCCAGGGAGAGGGGGAGUGUGUGUGUGCCUGUGUGUGCCCAGGGAAGGCUGUGCCCCACUGUACCAGGCCUGCACUCGAGGGGCCGGGUGCUGCCCUGGCUCUGUGGGUGGAGGUCUUGUGUGUGCAGUGCUGGGCACCAUGUGAGCCUUGCGGGUGUCACACUGUAGGACUGGUGGGGUGAUAGGUCUGUGCUGCACCGACCUCCCCUGCUUCAUGGAUGGCUGUCCCCUGCCAUAGCCACCCCCCAUCCUCUGCCAGGGGCCAGCUCUGGGCCAGGGGCUUGCAUUUUGUCCUCACUGCCGUAUGCUUUCUCCUUUGCAACAGCCUCCCGUGGAGGGGACAGCGGAGGUGUGCUGCCCAGCCUGGGAGGCAUAAGUGGGGCACAGAGAGGGGAGUGUGAGGAGCAUUAGCACCCACCAGGACAAGGGGGCAGGGUCCCAAGUGCAUGCUGGGACCCAGACCAUCCUUCCCCCAAGACCAGAAGCCAGCACCCAGGCAGAGGGCCCCCACCUGGUGCACACCAGCACCCAAACCAGGGCCCUCUGCCUGGGUGAUGUGGGUGCACAGAGGCUCGCUGUCCAAAUCCAGGAGGACACAGGGAGAGGUGGAAACGCCCCUCCAAGAUCAUGGAGCAGGGGACACAGACCGCUCCUCUUCCCCCUACAAUGGAGGCCAGCACCCAGGCAGAGGGCCCUAGACACGGGGACACCUCCACCCAGUGUAGGGCCCUCUGCCUGGUAGAUGUGGGCUGUGACCCCCCGCCACACUUGUCAGUGAAGACAAUUGAAUUUCAAGGUCCAAAAAAACCGGGACAGCGUGAAAGGUUCCAGCUCACCUGGCUGCUCCCCUGCUGCUUCACCCAACGGAGGUGAAGCCCUGCACUCCUCCCCUCCCCGCCCACCCCUGUUGUCCCCUCCCUACGUCCAUCGUCCCCUGCCUGAUCUGGGAUGGGCCCAACUGGACUGGCUGACGUGUGGAAGAGAGACGUAUUGGUUCUGUGACAUGAUUCUCUUCUCCUGCUGCCAAGAGGAACCCCUCUCCAGGAAACCUCUGCAUUGCAGGGUCUGACCCAAGACUGGGAGGAGAUGGCUGCUCUCCACAGUAUGCUCUCCCUGCACAAUAAGCAGGGCGAGGGACUGGAGUCUCCAGUAACUUGCAUAGGUUGUCUCACUGCACCAGGGCAGCUUUGGCUUUCACAAGCAGCUUUGAAGGUCCAGUCAUCAGUUGGGAUGCCUCUGUCCCUGCAGAUAGCCCUUGACAUUCCGAGCGCUUUCGAAGCCAAGCCCCAAGUGUCUUCCAUGGGAGAAAGAUGCAAAAUCGCCCCAAGCCUUCCAACAGAUGAAUGAGUCUGAAAUGUGGUGUUGCACUUCCAUGGUACUUGUAAGAUCCUAGAAAGACCAGCAAUGAACUGCAGCAUACCACAAGUACCUGAAGACUGGGGUUGUGAAGGAAGCAAGAAAAUGGCAGGUUUUGUGACAUGCACAAGGGAGAACCCAGAUGUGAUUUACUUGCCUAGUGUGCUGGUGUGGGAAAUAUGCUAAGAUGCAUGCCAGCUGUGGGGUUCCCUCCUGGGGAGCUGCCUUUCCUUCAGGAACCUGUGCAAAACACCAGCCUGCCAAGAACAAGACUACCCAGCUAAUCUGUCAUCGUUACGGCGGUGCCAAACUCUGCCUGCAAAUGCGUGCGAGUAGUUCCCGUCACUUGUCUCUAAUUGUGAUCUAGUCAUCUUUCCCAUUUAUAGCUGUUUCCACUGUUUUCAGAUGCCUGUUUUCUUGCUGGGCUUGCCAGUUUUUGGAGGAUGGCCUGCAGCUUUAGACCAUUUGUCUGAUGGUGUUGUGACAUAACAUCAGUACAUUAGGCCAAAUUUAGUGCUGCUGUGCAAGACCACCAUCACGUCCCAGGACAGGUGUGCCUGCGUGACAUUCUUUGGCCCUGAAAUCAUUCUGCAGUUGGUAAAAUCCUCAGGGCUGUUCAGAACAGGAUGAGCAAGCCUCUGUUUUCAUAAUCCUUGUAUGCUUCUGGCAUCCCAUGGGUACAGCCUGGAAGUCUGUAGAGCUCCUUAGCUCAAGUGUCUUCUCACAGUUACAAUCCACCUCUAUUUGUCUCUCACCUGAGAUGCUAGUACUGUCCAGUAGAAAGAUGAUGUCAUUAUCCAUAAGGGUCUGCCAUAGUUUAAGUCACAAGUGCUAGCUGUACUAUCAAUUAUUAUCUGAUCUGUACAUGCUAGUUGUAGACAUGGAUGCGCCACAUUACAUCAGAUAUAUUCUAACCCUAUGUUUCUAUUCAGCGAUAUGCCUUCAUCUAAUACUGCAAUUUCUGUCAGGCCUUGUGAGCUGAGCAGUCACUUUUUGGGUGGGAGCCCAAGGAUGCCUAUAUACUGUAGGAAGCAGUCUUGGUAAUUCAGUCGGCGGCAGUCCUAGUAAGCAGGGUUGACCUAGGUUCCCUUCAUGGUGCCAGGGGGCAUUGAGCUGCUGUUGUGAAUUGUGGAGCUGAGCUACCACCUGUGUGGCCAUUAAAGAGCUUUUGCCGGUUUACGUGAGAGUAACCCCCAUGCCAUGGCCAGGCUCUGCUUUGGGUAACUACAGUCUGAAACCUGGGUCCCCCAGGAGUUUCAGUUUGAUGCAACAUCCUUUUUCCCUUAUUGUCCCUUGUCGCUGAGCUUUGUAUCAUUGCAGUUGGCUGCAUCCACAGGGGCAAUGGUAGCUCGCCAGUAGGUGAUGCGAUUCAUGUCUGAAGUUGGUGAGCCCAUAUCAUCCUGAAAAUGAUUUGGGAUGAACAACAGCUGUUUAAUUGUAAAGCUCUGCCCAGUGCCCCGAGUUUUCAAGAUGACUUCCUCUGGGAUUCGUGCACAGAACCCACAUCUCGCGUCAGAGACAAACUGCAGGCCUACAAUGACACUGCCAUGGAAGAGGUUUACCCUUUUGUGUUUUUCAGCUCAGUUAUAAGUAUAAAAAGAUCCAGGCAAGCAUUGUGUCCUUUUACCACAGAUAACUGUCCCCUUAGUCAGGGAAUGCGUCACACACUCAGCUGAAAAAAAAGAGUACUGUUUAAAAUGAUAUCCAGUAGAUUUGAAUUAGAAAAAUAGAUUUGUACUAGAAAACCCAAUAGAUUUUUAUUAGAAAAAUGCACCCCAGAAAGUUAACUUGUUUUCCCUCUAUUUUUAUGCUUUUAUGCCUUUGUUUAUGUAAAGGGUCCUUGGCAUAGGUGAAGGUUGCUGGCUUGAGAAGUUGGGGGCCAGGAGAGGCGGGCUGGUCAGCUGAGCAGCCACGUUUCACUUUUGGCUUGGAAUGGUUUUUAUUUGACAAGGCAAAAAUAUGCUGUCGCAGGGCACCUCGGUGCCUGCUCCUAGAGAGUGGAAACUGCCAGGGAGAGAGAGAGCGAGCCCUGGCAGGACAUAACGAGCCCAGCUGUGGGUUGUCAGGGAUAGAGCACCGCUGCGGGUUGCCGGGGCAUCUAGGGAGGGCCAGCUGUCUGCAGGAGGCAGGGCCUGGUCCUUAUAAAGCCCAGGGCUGAGGCCAGGCUGAGCAGCCGGAGGGGCAGG